GACGAACGCUGGCGGCGUGCUUAACACAUGCAAGUCGAACGGAAAGGCCCUGCUUUUGUUGGGUGCUCGAGUGGCGAACGGGUGAGUAACACGUGAGUAACCUGCCCUUGACUGUGGGAUAACUUCAGGAAACUGGGGCUAAUACCGGAUAGGAGCUCCUGCUGCACGGUGUGGGUUGGAAAGUGUCGGCGGUGGGGGAUGGACUCGCGGCUUAUCAGCUGGUUGGGCGAGUAGUGGCUUACCAAGGCUUUGACGGGUAGCCGGCAUGGGAGGGUGACCGGCGACAUUGGGACUGCGGUACGGCCCAGACUCCUACGGGCCGCAGCAGUGGGGAAUCUUGCACAGUAGGCGGAAGCCUGAUGCAGCGGCGCCGCGUGCGGGAUGACGGCCUUCGGGUUGUAAACCGAUUUCGCAUGUGACGAAGCGUGCGUGACGGUAAUGGGUAAGAAAGCCCCGGCUAACUACGUG
rnacentral:rRNA from 1 species